rnacentral:rRNA from 1 species
CGGCCACAUUGGGACUGAGAUACGGCCCAGACUCCUACGGGAGGCAGCAGUGGGGAAUAUUGGGCAAUGGGCGCAAGCCUGACCCAGCAACGCCGCGUGAAGGAAGAAGGCUUUCGGGUUGUAAACUUCUUUUAAGAGGGAAGAGCAGAAGACGGUACCUCUAGAAUAAGCCACGGCUAACUACGUGCCAGCAGCCGCGGUAAUACGUAGGUGGCAAGCGUUGUCCGGAUUUACUGGGUGUAAAGGGCGUGCAGCCGGGUCUGCAAGUCAGAUGUGAAAUCCAUGGGCUCAACCCAUGAACUGCAUUUGAAACUGUAGAUCUUGAGUGUCGGAGGGGCAAUCGGAAUUCCUAGUGUAGCGGUGAAAUGCGUAGAUAUUAGGAGGAACACCAGUGGCGAAGGCGGAUUGCUGGACGAUAACUGACGGUGAGGCGCGAAAGUGUGGGGAGCAAACAGGAUUAGAUACCCUGGUAGUCCACACUGUAAACGAUGAAUACUAGGUGUGCGGGGACUGACCCCCUGCGUGCCGCAGUUAACACAAUAAGUAUUCCACCUGGGGAGUACGAUCGCAAGGUUGAAACUCAAAGGAAUUGACGGGGGCCCGCACAAGCGGUGGAUUAUGUGGUUUAAUUCGAAGCAACGCGAAGAACCUUACCAGGGUUUGACAUCCUGCUAACGAAGUAGAGAUACAUUAGGUGCCCUUCGGGGAAAGCAGAGACAGGUGGUGCAUGGUUGUCGUCAGCUCGUGUCGUGAGAUGUUGGGUUAAGU